UCGACCUUGUUGGGAGAAGCUGGUCAUCUGCGAUCAGUGCCGAAGGAGCAACCGCCCCGGAAACUCUCAGGCCAAAGGACCAGCAAGG
rfam:Rhizobium sp. R72 R711_NODE_4, whole genome shotgun sequence.